rnacentral:rRNA from 1 species
GCUCGUGGAUCGAUGAAGACCGCAGCUAAAUGCGCGUCAGAAUGUGAACUGCAGGACACAUGAACACCGACAAGUUGAACGCAUAUUGCACAUCGUACAACAGUACGAUGUACACAUUUUUGAGUGCCUAUACUUAUCGAUUUAACUAUGCGCGGGGCGGCGUGUGUGUGUGUGGGUGCGCGGUGUUGUGCGCGCGUUCGAGUCGCCGGCGCGCGAUGUUUGGACAUGCGGGUACACGGCCACACCGUACGCGCCCUUCACACGCCCUGUGCGCAUGCGCAGUGAUGUUUUCCCACCGCCGCGCGCCGGUGGUGGUAAAACAUUGAAGAUAGUCAGACGCGCGCGCGACGCGCGGUUGAUGAGAGUACAAUCCCAUACUCCAGCUUGGCUUGGAUACGUUGUACUUACUCGUUGACAGACGACAGACAGGGUGGUAUAUAGUAGGCCUCAAAUAAUGUGUGACUACCCCCUAAAUUUAAGCA